rnacentral:lncRNA from 1 species
UCAAAACAAAAUCUCAUGAGGCAACAAUUCUCAUAUACAAUAUUAAUAUCAAGAUUUCAACAAAAUCUCAUGAGGGGCAGGUAACAAUAUUCAUUUACAAAAUUCAAGAUUUCUUGAAACAUUCUUCCUGUGAAGCGAAUGUACUAAGCUUCAAAGACCAUAUAUCAAAAUGAUUAAAAAAUACAUAGAAAAAGAAAAGAAAAUUGAAUAAGAGAGAUCAAGCUCUAGUAUUUUUUUUUUGUCUGCUACUUUACUUAUCUGUUGUGUAGAGGAUUUGGACCGGUACGAACUUUCCUCUUAUCAUCACCAAAAAUCUCAUCCAUAUUUGGAAUAUUAGUUCCUCUUGAGAAGAAGCCACGUUUAUGAGAUUUAUCACUUCUCUUUAUAGAAGAAGAAUAAUCACCUUUAAAUCUGUAAAACUUGCCAAUAUUUCCAUUUUCUGCACCACAGCAAUAUGGAACUUUGAAAUGCAAAAGCCCCAAAAGAAGAAUAAGACAUAAAAAUGCCAAACUCAACUGUUUCUUGCUAAAAACCCAAGUCAUGGCUCAUGGGAUUUUCAAGAAAAGAUGGCAAAGUAGAGGUCUAUGGGCUGCUAAAUAAUAAAAUUAAUAAAGCGUUCUUCUCUUUUGGAUGCCUAGAAAUUCGGACUGAUGUAUUAAGUCAAAUGCAUAAAUUUUGCUGCCUUGUAGUAUAGUAUUACAAAAUCUUGGUUUUUGUGAAAUAUUUUAGUAGUAGAAGAAGAGAAGUGGAAGUGCUGUGAACUUUUUUCAGUUGCCAAUUUCAGAGCCAAAUUUGCUCUCUAAACAUGGCCACACAGAAACAAAGGAAAAGAAAAGAAGAACCCCUUUUAGGAGUUUGAUAAAGAGGGGUGGGUGGGUGGAUGGUUGGGAGAUUUAUAAAGAAAUAUAGUAAAAGAAUUUGAGCUGACUUAUUAGGGAAAAGUGAAGUGGUCACUAUGCUACUCACUCACUUGUAUUCAAUCUCUCAAAAAUCUUGGGUCAUGUGAGAACAAUCAUUUUCUUGGGUUUUUAUUAUUUGUUCUUUCUUUCUCUCUUCAGUUUGGUUUUUUGUUGUUGUUGGGAAAGUAGUGGGUACGAGUUGAAAAGGAAAGAUUAAUGCCUUUCAUGCUUCAAAAGUCUACAAUUCCAUUAUAUAUAUUUCAGAG